rnacentral:lncRNA from 1 species
UGAUUAUUUUAGAAAUAUCAGUAAAGAAUUAGGGUUUGAUGAGUCCUGCUGCUAUACUAUCAAUAGUACUAAACGUUUGGUGCUAUCGAGUUUUCCCCCAUUAGAUCUACCUUUUUAACCAUUUCCAUCCGUUAGAUUAUACUAUUCAAUUAAUCACCCACUCAACCCUAGAAGAUCGCUAUCAUCCUAACCGCACAUCCCUUCAUUCAAGGAUCGAAAACCUAAUAAUGUCAAGCGCUUGGCACUAUUAAUAGUAUAGUAGCCUAAUUCAGGGUUGGAUAUCUCAGUCCUGAUUUAACUCCAAUACACAUUAUAAUCUAUCUUA